GGCGUGGGCUCUCUUGUGCAUGGAGAGUUUACAUGAGCAACUCUUUCUCGUGUAAAGCAAAUGGUGCACAAAUGGAUAAAGUUAGGUGGCGCAUGGAUUAGUUGCCCAUUCAAAUUCAAACUUCAUUUGAAUUUGAAUGGCCAACUCACCAUCUUUAUCCACCCAAAUGGCACACAAAUGGAGGGACGUGAAAGGCUUCUUCAUGGGAGAAAAUUCAUGAGAAGUUGUUUCUUGUGAAUUCAAAUGGGCG
rnacentral:lncRNA from 1 species